rnacentral:rRNA from 1 species
UACGUAGGGGGCAAGCGUUGUCCGGAUUUAUUGGGCGUAAAGAGCGUGUAGGCGGCUUGGUAGGUCUCGCGUCAAAACCUGAGGCUCAACCUCAGUUCGCGUGGGAAACCACCUAGCUAGAGUCCGGAAGAGGAGAACGGAAUUCCCAGUGUAGCGGUGAAAUGCGCAGAUAUUGGGAAGAACACCAGUGGCGAAGGCGGUUCUCUGGGACGGUACUGACGCUGAGACGCGAAAAGCGUGGGGGAGCGAACAGG